rnacentral:rRNA from 1 species
GACGAACGCUGGCGGCGUGCUUAACACAUGCAAGUCGAGCGGUAAGGCCCUUUCGGGGGUACGACGAGCGGCGAACGGGUGAGUAACACGUGGGUGACCUCGCCCUCAGCUCUGGGAGUAAGACCCGGGAAACUGGGUCUAAUACUGGAUAUGACUCCAUGACGCAUGUUGUGGGGUGGAAAGCCUUGUGCGGCUGGGGA